GGCACUAUAGUGUAGUGGUUAUCACUCGGGAUUUUGACAUGUUUGAAAUCUUCCCGGAACCCAGGUUCGAACCCUGGUAGCGCCU
rfam:Phlebia centrifuga strain FBCC195 PHLCENscaffold_997, whole genome shotgun sequence.